rnacentral:lncRNA from 1 species
GCAAUCUUUAGGCUUUUAUUCCUGGGGGGGGUGGGAGGGGAUAGGAGGUAGACCGGUGAGUGAGCUCAAUCUGAUUUACAAUUCAGGCCUGUAUUGAUCAUCUAUUGGUAAAUAAACAAUGCCUUGGUCACUGUCACAGUCCCUAUAAGGUAAUGACUGGGAAUAUGGAACAAGAUUAUUGUGGCUAAUUCUGUUGCCAUUCAUCUUAGCUGUUGAUGAAGAUUGUGAGGAGGGAGACCAGAAGAUAAUGGACAACGAUACAGCAGAAGGGUCUGGUUACACUUGAGCUUAUUUCUUGGAAGAGUCUGAGAAGACGGCCUGUCAGGCUCCUAACACUAAGGGCCAUGUAACCAGUGAAGCAGCCAUUAUAUAUGAUUUGGUCUACACUUGUUGGAAAAAUUCCACAAGAGGAUCUCCUGGAAGCUAGCAGAAGUUUUUGGCUUGUACAUUGCCAGGCAGCCAUUGGAAUCGGAGCUGCAGUCAGAUUAAGGCCAGCCUGGCCUACAUUGAGAAACCUCAUUUUGGGAAAGUGAAAUACUUUGUCAAUUAACAUGCAGUUGGUUCAAUAAAGACUUUUGGAAAGUG